ACCACUUGUUCUGUGAUUUCAGAAGCGAAAAAAAACAACUCUACGACACAGGAGAAGUUCCUGAUUUUAAACUUUCUGACGGGAGCUGCUGACAGAGAUAUAGAAAACACAGAUUGUUUAUGUUGCUAGAUUCUUCCAUGCUGAUGGCCGUGCACUAGAGUUGGAGCGUAUCUCCUGUCGAAGAACAUAUCUAGACAUUAUGAAGCAUAUGACUAAGACUUAUUUCAAACUUAAAUAACACAAGGGAUU